rnacentral:rRNA from 1 species
UGUAGAGGGGGGUAGAAUUCCAGGUGUAGCGGUGAAAUGCGUAGAGAUCUGGAGGAAUACCGGUGGCGAAGGCGGCCCCCUGGACAAAGACUGACGCUCAGGUGCGAAAGCGUGGGGAGCAAACAGGAUUAGAUACCCUGGUAGUCCACGCCGUAAACGAUGUCUACUUGGAGGUUGUGCCCUUGAGGCGUGGCUUCCGGAGCUAACGCGUUAAGUAGACCGCCUGGGGAGUACGGCCGCAAGGUUAAAACUCAAAUGAAUUGACGGGGGCCCGCACAAGCGGUGGAGCAUGUGGUUUAAUUCGAUGCAACGCGAAGAACCUUACCUGGUCUUGACAUCCACAGAAGAAU